UAUGGUGACGAUAGCAAGAGAGAUACACCUGUUCCCAUCUCGAACACAGAAGUUAAGACUCUUAACGCUGAUGGUACUUGGGUGGCAACGCCCCGGGAGAGUAGGUAGUCGCCAAAU
rnacentral:rRNA from 1 species